rnacentral:rRNA from 1 species
UACAGAGACCUCAAGCAUUAUCCGGAUUUAUUGGGCGUAAAGCGUCCGCAGGUUGUUUGGCGUGUCAGGGGUUAAAACUCAUAGCUUAACUAUGAGAUCGCCUUUGAAACUACCAAACUAGAGGGUGGAAGAGGUAAGCGGAAUUCUCGGUGUAGUCGUAAUAAGCGUUGAUAUCGAGAAGAACACCAAAUGCGAAGGCAGCUUACUGGUACACACCGUGACACUCAGGGACGAAAGCGUGGGGAGCAAACAGG